rnacentral:lncRNA from 1 species
AGUUUUGGAAGAAUGGGAGAGGAGCUUUCCACUCCUCUGAAAGUCAUGUCGAGAGUCUGUCUUAGCCCUCGACCCCUCAGUCUUUGUAGAUCUCAUCCCAGGACCCAAGGGAGAGCACUCAGGACCGGUUCUGGUUUCCUGGUGUGGCCUGGGCCUCCAUCUGGUUUGGAGGCUAUUUUGAUCCACCGGAUGCAGAUUAGCUGCUGCGAUCUGGGGCUGAGCUGCUGGAGAGAUGCCUUUAUCUACAGAAGGACAAUUUGAAAACUAACUCAAAGCAUCGAGAACAAAUAAAUAAAUUCCUCUUUCUGUUCCCAGCACUCUCCAUCCCAUUUCUACAGGAGAAGUUCUGGUCUCUCCUCGGUGCUGCAGCUGCCCCAGGAAGAGUUUUCAGGAGCUGACAAGCAUUCAGAUGAGUAAAGAUGGGAUCGGAUUGAGAAAAGGAGAAGGGAGAGCAUAUUCGUUCUCUUUCUACCUCCCU